AUUGAACGCUGGCGGCAUGCCUUACACAUGCAAGUCGAACGGUAACAGGUCUUCGGAUGCUGACGAGUGGCGAACGGGUGAGUAAUACAUCGGAACGUGCCUAGUAGUGGGGGAUAACUACUCGAAAGAGUGGCUAAUACCGCAUGAGAUCUACGGAUGAAAGCAGGGGAUCGCAAGACCUUGUGCUACUAGAGCGGCCGAUGGCAGAUUAGGUAGUUGGUGGGAUAAAAGCUUACCAAGCCGACGAUCUUUAGCUGGUCUGAGAGGACGAUCCGCCACACUGGGACUGAGACACGGCCCAGACUCCUACGGGAGGCAGCAGUGGGGAAUUUUGGACAAGGGGCGCAAGCCUGAUCCAGCAAUGCCGCGUGCAGGAUGAAGGCCUUCGGGUUGUAAACUGCUUUUGUACGGAACGAAAAGCCCCGGGUUAAUACCCUGGGGUCAUGACGGUACCGUAAGAAUAAGCACCGGCUAAUUACGUGCCAGCAGCCGCCGUAA
rnacentral:rRNA from 1 species